rnacentral:rRNA from 1 species
GAUGAACGCUGGCGGCGUGCCUAAUACAUGCAAGUCGAGCGAACGGACGAGAAGCUUGCUUCUCUGAUGUUAGCGGCGGACGGGUGAGUAACACGUGGAUAACCUACCUAUAAGACUGGGAUAACUUCGGGAAACCGGAGCUAAUACCGGAUAAUAUUUUGAACCGCAUGGUUCAAAAGUGAAAGACGGUCUUGCUGUCACUUAUAGAUGGAUCCGCGCUGCAUUAGCUAGUUGGUAAGGUAACGGCUUACCAAGGCAACGAUGCAUAGCCGACCUGAGAGGGGGGUCGGCCACACUGGAACUGAGACACGGUCCAGACUCCUACGGGAGGCAGCAGUAGGGAAUCUUCCGCAAUGGGCGAAAGCCUGACGGAGCAACGCCGCGUGAGUGAUGAAGGUCUUCGGAUAGUAAAACUCUGUUAUUAGGGAAGAACAUAUGUGUAAGUAACUGUGCACAUCUUGACGGUACCUAAUCAGAAAGCCACGGCUAACUACGUG